rnacentral:rRNA from 1 species
GGUUUCUUGUUAAUUAUAAGAAAUUUAACCUGCCCACUGAAAAUUUUAAAGGGCCGCAGUAUUUUGACUGUGCAAAGGUAGCAUAAUAAUUAGUCUUUUAAUUGAAGGCUGGAAUGAAUGGUUGGAUGAGGUAUAAACUAUUUUAUGUUAAUAAAUUGAAUUUAGAUUUUAAGUAAAAAGACUUAAAUUAAAUUAAGGGACGAGAAGACCCUAUAGAGUUUAAUAAACAUAUUUUUAAUUAAGUUUAGUAUAAAUUUUUAAUUAUUAUAAUUUGUAUUAUUUAAUUGGGGUGAUUAGAAAAUAAGUAAAACUUUUCUUUAAAAUAAAUAUUUUAAGUAAAUAAAGGAUCCAUAAAUAAUGAUUAAAAGAUUAAAUUACCUUAGGGAUAACAGCAUAAUAUUUUUUGAAAGUUCAUAUUGAAAGAAGUGAUUGUGACCUCGAUGUUGGAUUAAGAUAAAUUUUGGGUGUAGAAGUUCAUAAAUUGGGUCUGUUCGACCUUUAAAAUCUUACA